ACGAACGCUGGCGGCGUGCUUAACACAUGCAAGUCGAACGGGUCUGCCCUGUUUUUUGCGGGGUGGGUCAGUGGCGAACGGGUGAGUAACACGUGAGUAACCUGCCCCUCACUUCUGGAUAACCGCUUGAAAGGGUGGCUAAUACGGGGUGUUCUGGCUGUGCCGCAUGGUGUGGCUGGGAAAGAUUCACUUUUGUGGUGUUUUGGUGGGGGAUGGGCUCGCGGCCUAUCAGCUUGUUGGUGGGGUGAUGGCCUGCCAAGGCUUUGACGGGUAGCCGGCCUGAGAGGGUGGGCGGUCACACUGGGACUGAGAUACGGCCCAGACUGCUGCGGGAGGCAGCAGUGGGGGGUAGUGCACAAUGGGCGGAAGCCUGAUGCAGCGACGUCGCGGGAGGGAUGGAGGCCUUCGGGUUGUGAACCUCUUUCGCCGGUGAAGAAGGUCCUGCUCUUUGUGGUGGGGUUGACGGUAGCCGGGUUAUGAAGCGCCGGCUAACUACGUG
rnacentral:rRNA from 1 species